rnacentral:rRNA from 1 species
UGACCGCUGGCGGUAGGCCUAACACAUGCAAGUCGACCGGCAGCACAGUAAGAGCUUGCUCUUACGGGUGGCGAGUGGCGGACGGGUGAGGAAUACAUCGGAAUCUACUUUUUCGUGGGGGAUAACGUAGGGAAACUUACGCUAAUACCGCAUACGACCUACGGGUGAAAGCAGGGGAUCUUCGGACCUUGCGCGAUUGAAUGAGCCGAUGUCGGAUUAGCUAGUUGGCGGGGUAAAGGCCCACCAAGGCGACGAUCCGUAGCUGGUCUGAGAGGAUGAUCAGCCACACUGGAACUGAGACACGGUCCAGACUCCUACGGGAGGCAGCAGUGGGGAAUAUUGGACAAUGGGCGCAAGCCUGAUCCAGCCAUACCGCGUGGGUGAAGAAGGCCUUCGGGUUGUAAAGCCCUUUUGUUGGGAAAGAAAAGCAGCAGGUUAAUACCCCGCUGUUCUGACGGUACCCAAAGAAUAAGCACCGGCUAACUUCGUG